rnacentral:rRNA from 1 species
GACGAACGCUGGCGGCGUGCUUAACACAUGCAAGUCGAACGGAAAGGCCAUUUCGGAGGUACUCGAGUGGCGAACGGGGGGGUAACACGGGGGUGAUCUGCCCUGCAUUCCGGGAUAAGCAUGGGGAACUGGGUCUAAUAACGGAUAGGAACGCACUCUAGAGUGUGUGUUGUAAAGUUUUAUCGGUGUAGGAUGGGACUGCGGCCUAUCAGAGUGGUGGGGGGGUAAUGGCCUACAAAGGCGGCGACGGGUAGCCGGACUGAGGGGGUGGUCUGGCACAUUGGGACUUCGAGACGGCCCAGUCGCCGACCGGAGGCAGCAGUGGGGAAUAUUGCACAAUGGGCGCGAGCCUGAUGCAGCGACGCCGCGUGGGUGAUGACCGGCUUCGGGUUGAAAACGCCUGUCGCCAGGGACGAAGCGUUUUGUGACGGUACCUGGAGAAGAAGCACCGGCUAACUACGUG